CUUGGGUGACGAGUGGCGGACGGGUGAGUAAUGUCUGGGGAUCUGCCCGAUAGAGGGGGAUAACCACUGGAAACGGUGGCUAAUACCGCAUAACGUCGCAAGACCAAAGAGGGGGACCUUCGGGCCUCUCACUAUCGGAUGAACCCAGAUGGGAUUAGCUAGUAGGCGGGGUAAUGGCCCACCUAGGCGACGAUCCCUAGCUGGUCUGAGAGGAUGACCAGCCACACUGGAACUGAGACACGGUCCAGACUCCUACGGGAGGCAGCAGUGGGGAAUAUUGCACAAUGGGCGCAAGCCUGAUGCAGCCAUGCCGCGUGUAUGAAGAAGGCCUUCGGGUUGUAAAGUACUUUCAGCGGGGAGGAAGGCGAUGGGGUUAAUAACCUUAUCGAUUGACGUUACCCGCAGAAGAAGCACCGGCUAACUCCGUGCCAGCAGCCGCGGUAAUACGGAGGGUGCAAGCGUUAAUCGGAAUUACUGGGCGUAAAGCGCACGCAGGCGGUCUGUUAAGUCAGAUGUGAAAUCCCCGGGCUUAACCUGGGAACUGCAUUUGAAACUGGCAGGCUUGAGUCUUGUAGAGGGGGGUAGAAUUCCAGGUGUAGCGGUGAAAUGCGUAGAGAUCUGGAGGAAUACCGGUGGCGAAGGCGGCCCCCUGGACAAAGAC
rnacentral:rRNA from 1 species